rnacentral:tRNA from 1 species
GGGCCCGUAGCUCAGUCGGUAGAGCAGCGGCCUUUUAAGCCGUUGGUCGCAGGUUCGAUUCCUGCCGGGCUCA